ACGGCCAUACGGAGACAUAUUUGUUGUGGGCAAAGUGCGCGGACUGCGAGUAUCAUCUCCGUGGGACUUAGACUGGAUUCUUGUUUAGGCUUUGUUAAGAGUUUGUGGUCUUUGAAAACCUCGUGUUGGCCAGAAUAUAAACAUCAUGAAAGCAGGAAUCUUGGAUCCUGGCAUCUCUGCACCCUAAAACAGUCAUGGCACGUGGCAAAUGUCUGUGGCAUAUUGUACAUAGUGACGUCGGAUGGCACCAGUUAUGGGGGACACGUCUUACCCAGCACAAUGUAAGAUCUAUUCGUAAUCUUUACUAGGACUCUCCUGUUCCCUUACCAUGAUGAAAGAA